UACGUAGGGGGCUAGCGUUGUCCGGAAUCAUUGGGCGUAAAGAGCGCGUAGGCGGCCAGAUAAGUCCGGUGUGAAAGUCAAAGGCUCAACCUUUGAAUGCCGCUGGAAACUGUCUGGCUAGAGUCCGGGAGGGGCGAGUGGAAUUCCUGGUGUAGCGGUGAAAUGCGCAGAUAUCAGGAGGAACACCGGUGGCGAAGGCGCCACUCUGGGCCGGUACUGACGCUGAGGAGCGAAAGCGUGGGGAGCGAACAGG
rnacentral:rRNA from 1 species